rnacentral:misc_RNA from 1 species
AUUAGGGUGAAUGGAGUACGAAAAGGAGGGAAAUUGUUGGUUGUGAACAGUCCCAGAUUACUGUAACGGUUGGCCUUUUGAGUGAAGGAAAAAGAAGAAUGGAAGAAAAGGAGUGAAAGAGAUAAACCAAGUGCUCAAAUCUUCCAAAUCCAAUACUCCUAAUUCCAUAAUAAAAGACCCAUGAAAAUAACUAGUUGCAUAGAUAUCUACAAAGACUUAAUGAUAACUAAUCCUAAUCUAAUACUCCCAAUUCCCUGUAAAAGAUUCAUGAAAGUAACUUGUUCCAUAGAUAUAUAUAGAGAUUUAAUAAUGA